AUGGACGAUCAUGUUGCGCAGAGCUGCCCGCCGGCCGAGGCUGAAUCCCCCCUCGCCGGAUUGUGCUUCCCUCGCAUCAGCGCCGAUCCAACGGAGGAGGAGAAGAUGGAGGCCCUCUCUCACGCCGUGCGGAGCGGGACAAAGGCCGGCAUGGAGGUGGAGCAGAUCCUCUCCCUCGCCACAGACCACGCCAACAACAACGCCGAUCUGGCCUGCCACGUCCUCGCGCAGAGCGGGAUCCCAGCCGACGCGGUCCUCUCGGCGGCCAUGAAAACAGGGCUGAAGGCCCGAGAGGAGGUCUACGCCACCCUGCUGGAGCAGCUACUCGCCUCCUUCGCCGAACCACAGGAGGACACCCAGCUGACAGAGUGGGGGUGGCCCCCCAAGCCCCAGUAUUCCCUCACCGAGAAGAGGAGCGGCCCAAGAGUAGACCCCAAGCAACCCUUCUUCCUCAUCAACAUGAAGGCGUCGGCGAAGACGGCGCAGAUAUCGUGGCCGAUGAAGAAGUACCCCCGCUACCCCCGGGACCGAGCGAGACACAAUCCUCUGCGCGUCGCACGGCUGGGCACAGGACCCGAGGGAUUUCGCGUAGAGCAGGCGGGGCAGGGCGGGCAGCCGGGCGCCCUCUCCUCCUUCAUCGACGUCACGUACAGCGGGUGGCCGCGCCCUAAGGAGGGCAUCUUUGUGGAAGGCUCCUCCGUGCCUCUCAGGGAGGUCGCCGUCAUCAAGAGGUUGCCCGCCGGUGAUGGGAUUUCUGUCAUGUCCUAUGUUGAUAGACUUGGUAUUAAGCUCGAUGAUAUCCUCUUUGUGUUGCACGUCCCGUCUGCUGCCAUGCCCCUGAGAUUCACCGAGCAGUCAUUUUAUGUCUCUGAAAACUUUGAGGAGAUUCCAUUGUAUGCCCCAACUGGUCUUGAUUUCAUUGACAUCAAUGCCCCCGUCAAGAAUCUGAUCAAGAAACUUUACCAGCUGUAUUUACAAGAGGAGCAAGAGAAAAAGACUAAGCGUGAGAAACACGAUCAUCAGGGGAGUGAGGAGCUGGUGUGCAGCCCAGAGGAGUUCAUGCUCCAAAUACAUGAGACUGAGGAGGAGAAACUAGAGUGCCUCCGGAGGAGAAGGGAGGACAGCAAGAAACAUAGAGAUCUGCGCAAGGAAAUGAAGGAAGCGGUUCAUCGGAUCAAGGAUGCAGCAAGGACUUCAGAAGAAGAAGCGCAGUAUGAGGAGCAGUAUGACCCAAUGCUUCUGCCGUUCCUGUUUCAGGAAGAAUGUGGUCUGUUGAAACCAUUGGAAGACCUGUGCCAAAAUGAGGCAGGAGUAUUGUUCCCUAUUGUUGUUGAAGAUACAAUUGAAGAGUUGUAUGUUGUGCCUAUUGCUGUUGUAGAGCCAGGUCAAGAGUCUGCAUAUAUUAACACACAACAGAGCAUGAAUUUGAAGAAAGCAAAGGGCAAAGAGAAAGUACAGGAAGAUGUUGGCCCCUCUGAUGAUGAAGUGUUUGUUGAUUUGAACUGCUGUGAGAAGGAAGAUGAAAUCGUUGAGGAGGAAGAGCAUGAUAUAGGUAAUGAGGAGGAAGAUGAAAUCAUUGAGAAGCUGAAGCAGAAAAGGAAACAAAGAGAGGAUCCUAUGCAUCACUUUGAAGGAGACACAGAAGUGGAAGAGAUGUGCCAGAGGCAGAGGACUCAGACACAGAACCUGAGACACCUCUUCCUCAAACAUUCAAGAAAUGAUUCAGAUGAUGAGUCAGGUCUACCACUCCCUUGUGGAAGGAAGAGUCAAGCCAAGAGGGCCAGGACUAGGAUCUGGUAUGAUGAGAGCAAGCCAGAUGCUCAUGACCAACUUUGCUUGAGUAUGUGCUUCACUGAUGUGUAUCAGUUUAGAAGAGCACUUAGGAAUUUUCAUAUCAGAAUCCUUAGAAAUUUCCAGUACCAUAGGAACUGCAAGGAUAGGAUCAUUGUGCAUUGCACAGAAAGGGACAAUGGGUGUCCUUUUUUCAUGACUGCAUCCACAAUUGCUCAUGAGAAGACAUUCUGCAUCAAGAAGAUGCAGUUGUUGCACACUUGUGGUGCACAUGGAGAAAAAACCAAAGUGACAGUUGACUGGAUGGCCAAAACAUGUGAGCAGCAACUGAGAGAUAAUCCAAGGGCUGGUGUUGAUGCAAUUUUAAAAAGAACAAAGACUAAGUAUGGGCUGGAAGUGCCAAAGACCAAGGCCUACAGGGCAAGGUCAUUGGCCAUUGAAGUGGUGGAAGGUGACAUGAAGGGACAAUACACAAGGUUUAAGGAUUAUCUUCAAGCUGUGCUUGAUACCAACCCUGGGAGCAGAUGCAUUGUGACUACCAGAGAGCUUGAGCUCCAUCCUAGCCCAAAUCCUAGGUUCCACUACAUGUUCUAUUGUCUGAAUGCUUCAAAAGAAGGGGCUGUUGAAUGCAAUUCAAGCUGUGUUCCCACACUCACCUCAAAGAUAUUGUCUUAG
rnacentral:rRNA from 1 species